AUGCUCUCUUAGGCAGCACAUAUACUAAAACUGGAACGAUACAGAGAAGAUUAGCAUGGCCCCUGCACAAGGAUGACAUGCAAAUUCGUGAAGCGUUCCAUAUUUUU
rnacentral:snRNA from 1 species